GACGAACGCUGGCAGCAGGCCUAACACAUGCAAGUCGAACGAGUGGCGGACGGGUGAGUAAUGUCUGGGAAACCGCCUGAUGGAGGGUUAUACCUACUGGAAACGGUAGCUAAUACCGCAUACCAUCGGAUGUGCCCAUAUGGGUUUAGCUAGUAGGUGGGGUAAAGGCUCACCUAGGCGACGAGCCCUAGCUGGUCUGAGAGGAUGACCAGACACACUGGAACUGAGACACGGUCCAGAGUCCUACGGGAGGCAGCAGUGGGGAAUAUUGCACAAUGGGCGCAAGCCUGAUACAGCCAUGCCGCGUGUAUGAAGAAGGCCGUCGGGUUGUAAAGUACUUUCCGCGGGGAGGCGUUACCCGCAGAAGAAGCACCGGAUAACUCCGUGCCAGCCGCCGCGGUAAUUC
rnacentral:rRNA from 1 species